rnacentral:lncRNA from 1 species
GCCAAACAGUGAUCCAGAAAGUGGCCUUGGUCAACAGCCGCAAACUCCCCUCCAAGAUCCUGAGCCAGCUGGCCCCAGAGAAGACCAGCCCUGCAGGGAAUGCCCUAGAUCUGUUCCAACACCCCCAGCUCCGGAAAGAGACCCUGAUUCUCUUCUACAUCUGGUUUGUGGACAGCCUGGUGUUCUAUGGUCUGGGCCUCAAGGUGGGGCACUUUGGCCUGAAUAUCUACCUGACACAGUUAACUUUGGAGCAGUCGAGAUCUGCCUGUGGUGGUCACUGUGCUGGCUCUGGUGGGGAAGUUUGCCUUGGCGGCUAGAUUUACCAUCUUCUACGUGGACUCUGCUGAGCUCUUCCCCACUGUCAUCAGGUAAGGGCAGCUGGUGCAACCCUGGCUCCUCUGCUCCCGAGACCCUCAUUUUGACCAUCCCUCCUCUGCCCUCCCUGGUGUUUCCCACAGAACUUACAGGACUGGCUCUGGGGCAGCAGGGCUGGAUGCAGUCCAGGGCUGGAUGAGGUCAGGGGAGUGCAGAGGAGGGCAGUGGAGAGCAGAUACACCAG